AACUAGAUGUAGGGGCCAUUCCACGGUUUCUGUGUCGCAGCUAACGCAUUAAGUUCCCCGCCUGGGGAGUACGGCCGCAAGGCUAAAACUCAAAGGAAUUGACGGGGGCCCGCACAAGCGGCGGAGCAUGCGGAUUAAUUCGAUGCAACGCGAAGAACCUUACCAAGACUUGACAUAUACGAGAACGGGCUAGAAAUAGUCAACUCUUUGGACACUCGUAAACAGGUGGUGCAUGGUUGUCGUCAGCUCGUGUCGUGAGAUGUUGGGUUAAGUCCCGCAACGAGCGCAACCCUCGUUCUUUGUUGCCAGCACGUAAUGGUGGGAACUCAAAGGAGACUGCCGGGGUCAACUCGGAGGAAGGUGGGGAUGACGUCAAAUCAUCAUGCCCCUUAUGUCUUGGGCUUCACGCAUGCUACAAUGGCCGAUACAAAGGGCUGCAAUACCGCAAGGUGGAGCGAAUCCCAAAAAGUCGGUCUCAGUUCGGAUUGAGGUCUGCAACUCGACCUCAUGAAGUCGGAGUCGCUAGUAAUCGCAGAUCAGCAACGCUGCGGUGAAUACGUUCCCGGGCCUUGUACACACCGCCCGUCAAGUCAUGAAAGUCGGUAACACCCGAAGCCAGUGGCCUAACCCGUAAGGGGAGGAGCUGUCGAAGGUGGGAUUGGUAAUUAGGACUAAGUCGUAACAAGGUAACC
rnacentral:rRNA from 1 species